rnacentral:lncRNA from 1 species
AAUCUUAAUAUGAUACUAGUGUUAGGUUGAUCUCUUUACCCAAUGGGCCCAACGGCCCAUUGGACCUUGACUCACGCCCUGAUCAGGGGCGUCCAGCCCAAGUAAGGCUGGUGGGCCCCUGUCACGCAGUGCUAUAUGUAGAGGAGGUGGGGACCAUGGCACGGGUUACGAGGUUCGCCGCCGCCACUGGUUCCCCCACUCUCCAACCCUAAUCCGAUCUAGAGGGAUGCACUGAAGCGGCGGGAAGUCCACCACCGCCGCCACCGGAUCUCCCUCUCCUUCCCCACCGUCGUCCUUACCAUGGACGACCGGAGGGAGCUCAUCGAGAAGCUACAAGGUAAUAAAAUCUCCACAUCAUACCGAACACAUCUAGCCUAAGAUCCACGGGAUCUAUCAAUGGUAUCAUGAGCAGGUUGGUAGAUGUGUUUUCGGAUGAAACAACAACAAGAAAAGUUUCCUCUCCCCGAUAUGAACCCUAAAAGGGCAAAGUUCAAAGAAAAAGAAAGGCUUCACCGGAGUCCUCUCCGGCAAAGAGCGCCGCCUCGGCCGCGCCUGUUCCUCUCGAUCCCCACACGCAUCGGCACGCCGAGGUGUGGGGAAGAAGAACCCACAUCCUCGGAGGCAAAGAAUGGAUCUAGAUCCAAAAGAAAAAAAUGAAAGCAAACGGAUCGGAUCCGGAAAAAGCAAAAGGAGGGGAAAAUGCAAACGAAAACAAAGUAACCCCACGGGAGCUAAGGACUCCAUCUCCAAAUCCUUCGACGGCGACGCGCCCAGCGCAAGGCGGAUGCGCCACCGGCGAGGGGGAUGGCAAAGGAGCUGUUUGCGAUCGCGCACAUGGAACACCCCGGCAGGGAAGAUGGCACCCCAACACCUCCCUUGACGGCGGCGCACUCUCCCUUGGGAGAGGGCGCGCACCGGCAAGAGGAGUGAAGGGGGCCGGCCGCUGCAAAGAAAGGGGAGGCAAGGGGGCCGAAGGCCAGAUCGGGCCAACCCCAUCUCCCUCGGCACCAAGACAAGCCUCACGGGGCCCAAAGACUCUCCCGGCCUGCCGCGGACCGCCGUGGACAGGAAGCAGUUGGGGGAUCGACGAGGCUGCCGUGGGCUCCGGCAGGUGCGCUACGCGGGACAAGACCGACCGGGGCGGGCUCCUCACCUCCGGAGCAUCUCGCGGAAGGGAGGACCACAGGCAGACGCGGCGGCAGAUCGACAGAUCUUGCCACCGGCGGCCGGUACCUCGCCGACCACGGGAGGCUCGGGAACCAAGGAGCCGGCGCCAGAGGACAACGAACCCGGCGAGGAUGAGCACCGACGUGGGGCCUUCGGCCCCCACAGCCGGCUGCCACACCAGCACGCUCCGGCGGGGCUACAUGCCUCCGCACAGGAAGAGCCGACGGACGAGAGAGAGAAACGGGAGAGAAGCGCGGCGCUGGAAGGAAAAAUGAAACGGGAUAGGGUUUCGGCUCAACGGCUGGCCCUUUUUGUUCCCACCGAAAGGCUCGGGCAACCGUCGGAUUUAAUCCGACGGCCCCCCAUCGCUCCGCUGCCUAGGUCCGGCCUGACUGGGCCGUUGGGCCGCAGUGAGGUGCGCCGGCUCUGGCUGGCGGGAGGAGCGCCGCACCGCGCCAGGUGGCCCCAGGCCGAACCGAGCGGGCCGGCGAGAGGAGGCAAGCCAGCGCCGGCCCAUGCCGGACUUUUUCAUUUUAAAAAGUUUUCAUUUUCUCCCUAGAGUUUUAGGCAAAUUCAAGAGUUUUUCUAGGAAUUCUUUUCCUACGAAAACAUGAUUAUAAAAGAAAAAGAAAAUGAUCAAAGUUUAGGUAAAAGUAAUAUGAUCUUUCUGAAAAGAAAAAUAAAAGGUUCUGAAAAUAAAAGAAAGAUUUUCAGAAAAAGAAAAGUUCAUGAAUUUUUUAUUUUUCACAGAAUAAUUUUCUGUAAAGGUGUAUGAAUUUUCAUACUCACGUUUUUUCGCUGCAAAGUAAAAAGGUUUAGUCCUCCAAUUAAAUUGGAACCAACGGGAAAAUUUAAUUGGAAGAAAUGUUAUUAGCAAAGUUUUUCCCUUGUGGGUGAAAUAUGAUUCAAACAUUUUCCGCUAUGACAAAAGAAUGAAGUUUGUUUUAAAGUUAAAAUAUGGUAUUGUUGUUUUCUAACCAACGUUGAUGAUAACAAUACUAUAUUUGUAUGAGUCAUCUUAUGUUUAAAGCUUAAAUCUCUGAUAAAUUUCGUAUCAAAGUGAUCAAUUUUCGGAGCACAGAUAAAGAAACGCAUAUGGUUAAUGAUGAUGGUUGUUAUUUCUUAGCAAAGUUGUUCAAUAAGAAUACUAUCAUCACAUUGUUUAUAAGUUAUAUGCAUUAUUUCCAUUUCUGCCCAACCGUGAUAUGGAAUUAAUAUAGUAGGAUGAUGUUUUAUUCUAAUUCUGCCCAACGGUGAUUUAGAAUAUUCCACAAAGUUUUAAAAGGUUUAAUGUGCAUGAUUUUAAUCAGACCAACGUAGGGUUAUUUUUAUGCUCAUGACCGUUGCCUAUUGGCUAAGUUUUCUCAGACUAAAAGUUAUUCAAGCUUUCACUCAUGAAAGCGAAUGUUGGGUACUAGUGACCCGAAAGAUUGAAAAGAAAGGUCAUAACUUGAGGGGGUAAAUUCUCUCUAAAGAAUGGCUUCAAAAGAAAAGCACUCUUGGAUAUUAAUUCAAGAAAAGAAAAAAGAUAGAUCAUUGAGAGUCUUGGUUGACGAAUGUCUUUCAUGUACUCUCUAUGAUGGAGUCUCCUUUUUCAGUCAACAUGAUUGAAAUGAAACAAGCAACAUGCAUGUUUAAUUUGACCAACGUCGGAUCAAACAUGUGUGUCAAAGAUAAUUCAGAUUUAUUUCUGAAUUUGAUGCAGUCAAAAGAGCCAAUUAUGGCAUUUAUGAUGUCCCUUAAAGCGAAUUACCCGCAUGGCGGGAAAAGUCUGAGAAGAAUGCCUGCGUAACCGGGUAAAGUUGACAUUGUAUUAUGUCAACAAUCCGUGUAUGGCGGGAGAAAUUUUGGCAAAGGUCUUAUCCUGUAUGACAGGAAAAAGUUAUGAUGACUCAUGUGCAGUUAAUGUGUCCCACUAUGGGAGAAAAGUAUGGAGUAGCUAUUAAGCUUUCCUAUUAUCGACCGUACACUUUAUGUGUAACGGUCAUUAUGCAAUCACUAAAUUCACAAAGGAUAAAAGUAACAGACGAACCUAAAGACAAGAAUGAUAUGCAAGUGUGACUUGCAAAAGAGACAAUGAUAAAGAACUCUGUUGAGUUUCAGAAAUGGAAUGAGGAAAAAGUACUCCCAUACUAGUUAACUUAUAACUUCAUUUUACAUGAAGUGAUAAGAUGAAUGAGCUAGAUAAUCGAAGUUUCCUCAUUUCACAAGAGCUAUGAAUGGGUUUCGAAAUUGUGGCAGAAAAGUUCUUGCCACAUUUCGAGGGGGAGAUAGAGACAUGAAAUACAUUGUAGUGUAUUUCAUGACUCCUUUGUACUUUAGAUGAUGUGAUGCACAUUAUGCAUCUAAAGUGAUCCAUUAAUGAAGAAUGUGAUUGUCAAGGGGAGUACGACAGUCAUCUGAAUACCGUCAUUAUGAUACCCCUAAAGAAAAGAAACAGUUGUAUUUUCGGAUCUUUUAUAGUUCCGAAAGCAAACUAAGGAAUACAACUGUGGUGCUUAAAGUGCCAUAAAGAAGAAAGUUUAAAGAUACGCCAUUUCUUGAGUGAAGAUGGAGUAAUCUGGGGGAGCAUGUUGUAUGACCUAUACAACACCUGUUGUUAGCUCUACAAGGGAUCUUGUGAUACAGGUUCCUAUAAAACCUAUUGCCUUUUGGAAAUGGGUGACUAAAGAAUGAAUUUGCCUCUUGGCAAUGACGGAGCAACGGCAACCCCAUAUGAAAUAAGUGCCAGUACCUGAGAUUUUGAUGGUCUCUAGGAAUGUGAAAAUCAGAUACUUGUGACUACUAUAAAGUCUAUGUUAGUGAAAUUCCAUCAUUUGAAUUUCACUAACAUAGGCUUUAUGAAGGGUCUACAAGGCAAAUGUGACCCCAAAGGAAAUAUGUAAAUGUGUGAAACAUGACAUAAAUCGAAAGAUUUUGUGCAAAGAAAAUGAGAGGACAAUUGCAUUCUUGCAAAGUUAUAGAAUGGGAAAUUCGUUUCCCAAUUCCUAUGCAUGUGGAUGAUGUCCUACUUGCUAGUGGUGAUGUCAAUCUACUGCAGGAGGAGAAAAGAAGUUCUUGUCCUCAAAGUUCAAAAGAAUAAAAGGGGGUAUUAGGAAUGUCGCAUGGACAUGCUAAGAAAGAUCUCUAAAGUAUGCAUACGAGAAAACCUACGCCUGUUCUUAUAGUCAAGGGUAAUGGAAGUGGAAACUAUGGUGUUCCAAAAGUUAAUAAGAAAAGAUUGUAAACGGAUAUGGUACCAUAUGCUUCAGUUGUUGGAAGCUCAAGAAAUUACCCUGACACACUUCACGUAUAUAUCCGGGUUGUUUUGGCAAUACGUAUAUAUCCGGGUUGUUUUGGCAAUUUCCAGUCCAUAGAUAAAUCAAUGGAAUUGAGUCAAAGAUAUCGGCCUCAUGCUAAAAGAAAUAAGUGCUCUCAAAAGAUUGUGAGUACAAAGGCAGGACUUGUGAAAUGUAUAGCGAAAUCCACAAUUGUCGCUAACUUUCAUACUCGGAGUUUUGUGUGGAAAAUCUCCAAAUGAGUAAAACGAUUGUCAUCAAUGUGAUGCAAUGAUAUGUUAUAGCUUGAUAUGAGGCUGAGGGAUAGACGAAAUGGUUAAUGGCUACCUAUACCCAGAGUUGAUAAUGGUUGACAACAACGAUAACCAUUUUAAAUUCUUUCGCUCCUGUCACAACGAGGCAAGUGUUGAUGCCAAACACACUGACAAAGAGUUACGUGUUGUGAAGGAGAAAGUCCGGAAUUAUGAAAAAAUGCUUGAAGCAUAAAAGCAACAAACAAGUGUUUGCAGAUCUGCUUAUCAAAGGCUUACCGUCCAGUGUGUUCGGAGAACACAUAGUCGACAUGGGUUUUAUGGUAUAGUCUAAUAUUUCCGGACAAUAAAGGGCCCAAGGUUAAAGAAUCUGUCUCAAAAUAGAGAGGUACAUUGUGGCUGUCUGAUUCCAUCGGCAAUUGAGCCGUGACGAUGAAACAUGCCCUAUGUAUUGAUCUGUUACGAAACGGGUAAAGUUAAAAGUAUAUGAUGAGAUCAAGGAGGAGAAUGUUAGGUUGAUCUCUUUACCCAAUGGGCCCAACAGCCCAUUGGACCUUGACUCACGCCCUGAUCGGGGGCGUCCAGCCCAAGUAAGGCUGGUGGGCCCCUGUCGCGCAGUGCUAUAUGUAGAGGAGGUGGGGACCAUGGCACGGGUUACGAGGUUCGCCGCCGCCACUGGUUCCCCCACUCUCCAACCCUAAUCCGAUCUAGAGGGAUGCACUGAAGCGGCGGGAAGUCCACCACCGCCGCCACCGGAUCUCCCUCUCCUUCCCCACCGUCGUCCUUACCAUGGACGACCGGAGGGAGCUCAUCGAGAAGCUACAAGGUAAUAAAAUCUCCACAUCAUACCGAACACAUCUAGCCUAAGAUCCACGGGAUCUAUCAACUAGCACUCACCACUCAGAUCACCAGUUCACCGCACCACCACUAAUCCACAGCAAGAAUUUGACAAAUGGCGAUUGAUCAAAGAGAUAUAUAGUUAGUUAC